rnacentral:rRNA from 1 species
GACGAACCACACAAACGUUAUUCGGAAUUACUGGGCUUAAAGGGUGCGUAGGCUGCGCGGAAAGUUGGGUGUGAAAUCCCUCGGCCUAACCGAGGAAUUGCGCCCAAAACUACUGGGCUCGAGGGAGUUAGAGGUGAGCGGAACUCACGGUGGAGCGGUGAAAUGCGUUGAUAUCGUGAGGAACACCGGAGGCGAAAGCGGCUCACUGGGGCUUUCUGACGCUGAGGCACGAAAGCUAGGGGAGCAAA